UACGUAGGGGGCUAGCGUUGUCCGGAAUCAUUGGGCGUAAAGCGCGUGUAGGCGGUCCGGUAAGUCCGCUGUGAAAGUCGGGGGCUCAACCCUCGAAUGCCGGUGGAUACUGUCGGGCUAGAGUACGGAAGAGGCGAGUGGAAUUCCUGGUGUAGCGGUGAAAUGCGCAGAUAUCAGGAGGAACACCAAUUGCGAAGGCAGCUCGCUGGGACGUUACUGACGCUGAGGAGCGAAAGCGUGGGGAGCGAACAGG
rnacentral:rRNA from 1 species